rnacentral:lncRNA from 1 species
GAUAAUUAAGUCAACGAGAUUGUUUGAGAAAUAAAGAUAAAAUACUUUCAUUUGUAGAUUUUAAAAUAUUUGUUGUAUUGUUUUUUUUUUAAUGAUGUGUAAGUUAUUUUUUUGUUUUGAAAAAUUAUAAGAAGAAGACAAAAUUUUAGUAAUAACGUGAUUAAUGCGACUCGAAACAAACCAUCAUAUUAACAUUCGG